GGUGAUUGCUGUUUCCAUGACACCCACAUUCUCUCCACAUUAGCCAUUCUGAUGCAUUAAUCGUGACCCAGGAACUCAUGUGAAACUACAUAUGCUUCAGGAGGCAGAAGAACUGUGAUACUGUGGAUGAAAGAUCCAAUAGAAUACAAAGCUGUCUAAGGCAAGUCAGAUUGGAAGGGAAACCCACGUGAGAACAUCAGGUUCCCGUGAUUGGCUUUUGCUGAUCUCCCCUCCUCUGACAUCGCUGCCUGUUGAGCUGGAGAGCACAAAGGAAGACUAAUCACUGCACGCCUUAAGCUGACUCCUGCAGUAAGCCCUGGUGUUUUAUCAGCUGCAGAGACAAUCAAUACCUGGGGAGAGAGAAGUUUUGCCAACUGUCACCUGAGAUAAAAUGAUCAAUUUCCUAAUUCUAGUACUAAUGCUGGCUUCAAAGCCCAGUGAUAAUUAUCCCAGCUGGUUUUAAAACAAUUUGUGAAUGACACUGAUCAUGAUUAUUAAAACUGGUGUGAAAGGCAUUGUGGCA